AGUGAACGCUGGCGGUAGGCCUAACACAUGCAAGUCGAACGGCAGCACAGUAAGAGCUUGCUCUUACGGUUGGCGAGUGGCGGACGGGUGAGGAAUACAUCGGAAUCUACUUUUUCGUGGGGGAUAACGUAGGGAAACUUACGCUAAUACCGCAUACGACCUACGGGUGGAAGCAGGGGAUCUUCGCACCUUGCGCGAUUGAAUGAGCCGAUGUCGGAUUAGCUAGUUGGCGGGGUAAAGGCCCACCAAGGCGACGAUCCGUAGCUGGUCUGAGAGGAUGAUCAGCCACACUGGAACUGAGACACGGUCCAGACUCCUACGGGAGGCAGCAGUGGGGAAUAUUGGACAAUGGGCGAAAGCCUGAUCCAGCAAUACCGCGUGAGUGAAGAAGGCCUUCGGGUUGUAAAGCCCUGUUGUUGGGAAAGAAAAGCAGCAGGUGAAUACCCCGCUGUUCUGACGGUACCCAAAGAAUAAGCACCGGCUAACUUCGUG
rnacentral:rRNA from 1 species